GACCUUUUGUAGUUCAUAAGCAUGAUGACGUGGGUUUUCACACUCACAUGUGAGAUGUGCCGCCCUCAAAUCUUCUUAUGAGGGAGGCACAUUACCCAUCUGACA
rnacentral:snoRNA from 1 species